rnacentral:rRNA from 1 species
GGUGAACGCUGGCGGCGUGCUUAAGACAUGCAAGUCGAACGAUCGUCUUCGGACGGUAGUGGUGCACGGGUGAGUAACGCGUAACUGACCUGCCCCCAAGUUCCGAAUAACCCUCCGAAAGGAGGGCUAAUACGGGAUGUGCUGUCCCCUCCUGUGGGGCCAGUCACGGCUUUACCGCUUGGGGGUAGGGUUGCGUUCCAUCAGCUAGUUGAUGGGGUAACGGCUUACCAUGGCAACACCGGAUAACCGGCCUGAGAGGGUGGACGGGCACAGGGGCACUGACACCUGGGUCACACACCUGCGGGGGGCAGUCGUCAGGGAGCUACCGCAAUGCGCGAAAGUGUGGGGGGGGGACGGAGGGUGAGGGAUGAGGGUUAUCGGAUCGUAAGCGUAGAAAAAAGGGGCAAAAGACGCGGAAGCGGGAUAACGGAACCUGAGUAAUAGCACCGGCUAACUACGUG